UGGGGAAUAUUGCACAAUGGGCGGAAGCCUGAUGCAGCGACGCCGCGUGAGGGAUGACGGCCUUCGGGUUGUAAACCUCUUUCAGUAGGGACGAAGCGUAAGUGACGGUACCUGCAGAAGAAGCACCGGCUAACUACGUGCCAGCAGCCGCGGUAAUACGUAGGGUGCGAGCGUUGUCCGGAAUUACUGGGCGUAAAGAGCUCGUAGGCGGUUUGUCACGUCGUCUGUGAAAUCCUAGGGCUUAACCCUGGACGUGCAGGCGAUACGGGCUGACUUGAGUACUACAGGGGAGACUGGAAUUUCUGGUGUAGCGGUGGAAUGCACAGAUAUCAGGAAGAACACCGAUGGCGAAGGCAGGUCUCUAGGUAGUAACUGACGCUGAGGAGCGAAAGCAUGGGUAGCGAACAGG
rnacentral:rRNA from 1 species